AACGAACGCUGGCGGCAUGCCUAACACAUGCAAGUCGAACGAGACCUUCGGGUCUAGUUGCGCACGGGUGCGUAACGCGUGGGAACCUGCCCUUAGGUUCGGAAUAACUCCCCGAAAGGGGUGCUAAUACCGGAUAAUGUCUUCGGACCAAAGAUUUAUCGCCUUUGGAUGGGCCCGCGUUGGAUUAGCUAUUUGGUAGGGUAAAAGCCUACCAAGGCGACGAUCCAUAGCUGGUCUGAGAGGAUGAUCAGCCACACUGGGACUGAGACACGGCCCAGACUCCUACGGGAGGCAGCAGUGGGGAAUAUUGGCCAAUGGGCGAAAGCCUGAUCCAGCAAUGCCGCGUGAGUGAUGAAGGCCUUAGGGUUGUAAAGCUCUUUUACCCGGGAUGAUAAUGACAGUACCGGGAGAAUAAGCUCCGGCUAACUCCGUG
rnacentral:rRNA from 1 species